rnacentral:rRNA from 1 species
ACGCUCGACACCUACGGGAUGCAGCAGUGGGGAAUAUUGCACAAUGGGGGAAACCCUGAUGCAGCGACGCCGCGUGAGCGAAGAAGUAUUUCGGUAUGUAAAGCUCUAUCAGCAGGGAAGAAACUGACGGUACCUGACUAAGAAGCACCGGCUAAAUACGUGCCAGCAGCCGACGGUAAUCUGAGGCGGGCUGGACGAAGGC